rnacentral:rRNA from 1 species
AGCGAACGUUAGCGGCGCGCCUAACACAUGCAAGUCGCACGAGAAAGGGGGCAACCCCCGGUACAGUGGCGCACGGGUGAGUAACACGUAGAUGACCUUCCCUGGAGUGGUGGAUAACCUGCCGAAAGGCGGGCUAAUACAGCAUGGGACCACAUGGUUUUGACCGAGUGGUGAAAGCGGGCCUCUGUUCACAAGCUCGCGCCCUGGGAUGGGUCUGCGGCCAAUCAGCUAGUUGGUGAGGUAACGGCUCACCAAGGCAACGACGGGUAGCUGGUCUGAGAGGAUGACCAGCCACACUGGAACUGAGACACGGUCCAGACUCCUACGGGAGGCAGCAGUGGGGAAUAUUGGACAAUGGGGGCAACCCUGAUCCAGCGAUGCCGCGUGAGUGAAGAAGGCCUUCGGGUCGUAAAGCUCUUUAGGUUGGGAAGAAGGGUAUUGGCUGAAUAAUCCAGUACUUUGACGGUACCGACAGAAUAAGCACCGGCAAACUCUGUGCCAGCAGCCGCCGUAAUAC